rnacentral:rRNA from 1 species
GACAGAGGUGCCGAGCGUUAGGCGGAAUCACUGGGCUUAAAGCGUGUGUAGGUGGAUGCCUAAGUACCUUGUGAAAUCCCACGGCUUAACCGUGGAACUGCUUGGUAUACUGGGUGUCUUGAGCCAGCUAGGGGCUACCGGAACAAAUGGUGGAGCGGUGAAAUGCGUUUGAUAUCAGAAGGAACGCCGGUGGCGAAAGCGCUCGACUGGACCUUUCUGACGCUGAGG